rnacentral:rRNA from 1 species
CCAGACUCCUACGGGAGGCAGCAGUGAGGAAUAUUGGUCAAUGGGCGCAAGCCUGAACCGGCCAAGUCGCGUGAGGGAAGACGGCCCUACGGGUUGUAAACCUCUUUUGCCGGGGAGCAAGCCUGAGCACGUGUGCCCAGGCGGAGAGUACCCGGAGAAAAAGCAUCGGCUAACUCCGUGCCAGCAGCCGCGGUAAUACGGAGGAUGCGAGCGUUAUCCGGAUUUAUUGGGUUUAAAGGGUGCGUAGGCGGAAUAUCAAGUCAGCGGUAAAAAUUCGGGGCUCAACCCCGUCGUGCCGUUGAAACUGAUGUUCUUGAGUGGGCGAGAAGUAUGCGGAAUGCGUGGUGUAGCGGUGAAAUGCAUAGAUAUCACGCAGAACUCCGAUUGCGAAGGCAGCAUACCGGCGCCCAACUGACGCUGGAGCACGAAAGCGUGGGUAUCGAACAGGAUUAGAUACCCGGGUACCA